rnacentral:rRNA from 1 species
AGAGUUUGAUCAUGGCUCAGGAUGAACGCUGGCGGUAUGCCUAACACAUGCAAGUCGAACGAUGUCUUCGGACAUAGUGGCGGACGGGUGAGUAACGCGUGAGAAUCUGCCUCUAGGAUGGGGAUAACGGUUGGAAACGACCGCUAACACCCAAUAUGCCGUAAGGUGAAAAAUUUAUUGCCUGGAGAGGAGCUCGCGUCUGAUUAGCUAGUUGGUGGGGUAAGAGCUCACCAAGGCUUCGAUCAGUAGCUGGUCUGAGAAGAUGAGCAGCCACACUGGGACUGAGACACGGCCCAGACUCCUACGGGAGGCAGCAGUGGGGAAUUUUCCGCAAUGGGCGAAAGCCUGACGGAGCAAUACCGCGUGAGGGAGGAAUGCCUUUGGGUUGUAAACCUCUUUUCUCAGGGAAGAAGAUCUGACGGUACCUGAGGAAUAAGUAUCGGCUAACUCCGUGCCAGCAGCCGCGGUAAUACGGAGGAUGCAAGCGUUAUCCGGAAUCAUUGGGCGUAAAGCGUCCGCAGGUGGUUUCCAAAGUCUGCUGUUAAAGACUGGAGCUCAACUCCGGAACGGCGGUGGAAACUUGGAAACUAGAGUUCGGUAGGGGUAGCAGGAAUUCCCAGUGUAGCGGUGAAAUGCGUAGAUAUUGGGAAGAACAUCGGUGGCGAAGGCGUGCUACUGGACCGUAACUGACACUCAGGGACGAAAGCUAGGGGAGCGAAAGGGAUUAGAUACCCCUGUAGUCCUAGCUGUAAACGAUGGAAACUAGGUGUGGCUUGUAUCGACCCGAGCCGUGCCGUAGCUNACGCGUUAAGUUUCCCGCCUGGGGAGUACGCACGCAAGUGUGAAACUCAAAGGAAUUGACGGGGGCCCGCACAAGCGGUG